rnacentral:lncRNA from 1 species
AGGCUGUGCUGCUGUCAGACGUGUCCAUCACCACAUGUGACAUUAAUGACAUCAUCCUGACCUCACAGGAUCCCAGAAUAAUGGUGCUUGAAGGAUUUUCCAAAGUCGUCUACUUUAACUCUUGAAAACUUUAAAGACAUUGGGCCUGAAAGUUUCAGUGACUUGUCCAGGGAAACCUGGUUUAUGACAGGAGGAAAACUGCAGUUCCCUCUCAGAUAAGUCACCAAAAGCAUCUUAUCAAAGGGGCCUUCUGAGAAAUACAUCCCAGCUGAAACGAACAAAAGUUCCUGCCUUCAAGCAUCCCAUCUCUUUUCUGUGAAUUUUCUGUACCAAGAGCUGAACCACAGUUCUCUACACUCGCCCAGGAGCCACAGAAAGUGAACAUCCCUCAGGUGUCAGUGUCAUUCAAGGACGUGAGUGUGGAGUUCCCCAGGAGGAGUGGCGGCAGAUGGACUCUGCACAGAGGACCCUGUACAGAGACGUGAUGAUGCUGGAGAACUACAACCGCCUCGUCUCUGUGGCUUCACCAUCGUCUCCACCCGUCAGGAAGGUACACUUCAAGCCCACCCUUCUCACCGACCCUCCCUUGACUGCAGCAGGUGUCUCUGUUCAGAAGAGUCUCUCCACAUGUUGUUGCAUCUCUGACAUUGCUUUUUGAUAGCAAGUCUGGUCCUGGCUGCACUAAGGUUCCUAGGGCUCACAAUUAUGAAAACAUCCUUUAAAGUCUGAGCAAGAUAAAUUCCACCAAACAAAUGUCCAGGUGAGAAGGGGUUAUAAGAAUGACACGUUGACUAUAUUCUUCAAAAAUGGCUUGUCAUAAAAAAGGAAGGCUUAGAAACUAAUCCAGAUUAUAGGAGACUAAAGACACGUGACAACUAAAUGCAGCAUUGUGAUUCUAGACUGAAUCCUAUAAUGGAGCUUUUAAAAAAAGCCACAAAGGACAUUACUCAGUAAACUGACAAAAAUGGAAUAUGAAUAGAAGAUUAGUUAAAAGUUUUAUGCCAAUGUUAAAUUUACUGAAGGAGAUAACAGUGCUGUAUGUUAGAGAAUAUUAUUUUUCUUAAGAAACACACAAUGAAAUAAUCAAGGAGAAAGUACAAGAUGCACAAAAUGUGUUCUCAGGUAUUCAGGAAUGUAUGCAUAUUUUUUCACAUAUGUGUGUGUGUAUGUGUGUGUCUUCAGAUAGAGAAAGGCGAGGGAGGGAAGGAGACAGAAACAGAUGAAGGCAGCGGAGAGAGAUGGAAAAUGGAUCAAAAUAUUAAUAGGUAAAUCUGGAUAAAGAGUAUAUGGUUGUUUACCAUCCGUGCAUCUUUUCCACAAGUUUAUUUUCAAAUAAAUACAUUUUUCAAAUGGACCA